UAGCGAAGGGGGCUAGCGUUGUUUCGGAUUUACUGGGCGUAAAGAGCUCGUAGGCGGUUUGUCGCGUCUGCUGUGAAAACGCGAGGCUCAACCUCGCGCCUGCAGUGGGUACGGGCAGACUAGAGUGCGGUAGGGGAGAAUUGGAAUUCCUGGUGUAGCGGUGGAAUGCGCAGAUAUCAGGAGGAACACCGAUGGCGAAGGCA
rnacentral:rRNA from 1 species